rnacentral:rRNA from 1 species
UACGAAGGGUGCAAGCGUUACUCGGAAUUACUGGGCGUAAAGCGUGCGUAGGUGGUGAGUUAAGUCUGUCGUGAAAGCCCCGGGCUCAACCCUGGGAAUGGCGAUGGAUACUGGCUCGCUAGAGUGCGGUAGAGGAGAGUGGAAUUCCCGGUGUAGCAGUGAAAUGCGUAGAGAUCGGGAGGAACAUCAGUUGCGAAGGCGGCUCUCUGGACCAGCACUGACACUGAGGCACGAAAGCGUGGGGAGCAAACAGG